AACGAACGCUGGCGGCAUGCCUAACACAUGCAAGUCGAACGAUUGCCUUCGGGUGGUUUUGGCGCACGGGUGCGUAACGCGGGGGAAUCUGCCCUUAGGUUCGGAAUAACAGCUGGAAACGGCUUCUAAUACCGGAAGAUAUCCCGAUAUCAAAUAUUUAUCGCCUGAGGAUGCGCGCGCGCUGGCUUCGUUAGUUGGUUGGGUAAAGGCGUCCCAAGCCGACUAGCCGUAGCGGGUCUGAGAGAAUGAGCAGACACACUGGGACUGGGACACGGCCCAGAAUACUACGGGAGGGAGCAGUGGGGAAUAUUGGACAACGGGCGCAAGCCUGAUCGAGCAAUGCUGCGUGAGUGAUGAAGGCCCUAGGGUUGUAAAGCUCUUUUACCCGGGAAGAUAAUGACGGUACCGGGAGAAUAAGCCCCGGCUAACUCCGUG
rnacentral:rRNA from 1 species